CAUGAGAUAGUCAUGUGUUCAGGAGUAACAUCCAGAAUAUUAAUAGGACCUGUUGGUGGCCCAGGAACAUCAAGAACAGUAAGAUGUACUGCUACUGUUUUGCUACCAGCUGCAUUGGAAACUGUGAUUUGAUAUUCCCCAGUGUCUCUCCUUAAGCAGUUCUUAAUGAGAAUAGACACCUUGAUGGCUCCUCUGGCAGUUCUUGAUGACCAUGGAUGAGCUAAUGGCUGUGGUCUCAAUGGUGGCUUCUUGAGAUUAUUUACAGCUGUGAUGGUAUAUAAGCCAGUGUCACUCCUGCGAGACUGUGGAAUAACUAAAGUGCAAGUAUCAUCCACCACCAGUUUGUUGACAUGGGUGUCAUAGAGAACAGGUUCUUUAUUAUCAGGCUUCUUUGGAGGAGCUUUAAACCAGGAGCAUGCAGAGAAAUUGUUUUAGCCUCUGAUAAAUAAAACAGCCUGCCAUGAGAAAAUUACAGCAAGGAAAUUACAGACAUCAUCUCCUUUGAAUAGGGAAAAGGUAACAGGAACUACUUACAGAUUGGAUCAUGUGCUGUUUUGGGAUCUGAAGGUGGACUGAACUUUCCAGGUCCAGCUGCAUUUUCAGCACAUACUCUGAAGACAUAGCUGAUUGAGAAACUUACCAAACUGAU
rnacentral:antisense_RNA from 1 species